GGACGAGAUAAAACGUUUAUUAAUACAUGUGUAAACGAACUGUUCAACACGUGAACCCAUACGCAUGUAAUACCUAUUGUACAAAUACCAAUUGAUAAAAAAGAACCUUGAACCAAUAUAAGAAGAUAUACCUGUACUUAUGUUAUAACCAUUAUCAGGUGUCGAAGUUGACAUAAUUGAAUUCGAAACCAUUUCAAAUUGAAGAAUCUCUGAACAGAACAUAUAAGAAAUGGCAAGCGGGUUUUUAAGAACAAUUGCAAGAUGGGGUGCAUUUAUUGUGAUUCUAGGUUGGCAUUUAUUCCGAGAUUUAGUGGGAUACGUUAUACCAGCACUGAAACCAACACCAGAAAAUGGAGCACUGAAGUCAUCAUAAAACUAAAUCAAACUUUGUCAUGACAGUUUAAAAUCAUUAUUAUUUUUGUAUUUCUUAAAGCAUAAUAAAAA